UGGUCCAGCAAGUCUUUUACUAUACUUCUUCAAUUAUUAAAGGAUGCAUUUGCGGAAAGUGUUAUUUUGCCAUCAUUUACAUAAAAAGCCAAAAAACUAAUAAAAGAGUUGCUACAUCCUGCUACAAUCUUUAUAUUCUUUGGUGCUACAUCCUGCUGAUAGGAAGCUCAUAAAACUUGCUUGUGGUUUUUUAAAUUUCGUGUAUGCUACAUGUCACGCCCCGGNNNNNNNNNNNNNNNNNNNNCACUGCACACGUCCGUAUUUGGUCCCUCCAGCUUAGAAUCAUUAUGCCAUGAAGUUUUAUGUCUCACAAUUUGACUUAUUAUUAUACACAAGAUGAGGAAAUAGAUGAAAUGACAAGGCAGGGUAGGUGUGUAGGCUUUUUUAGUGGCAGUUGAACAAGUAUUAUGUUGCAUCUUGUU
rnacentral:lncRNA from 1 species